GAGCGGUAACAGGCGUAGCAAUACGUGCUGACGAGCGGCGAACGGGUGAGUAACGCUUCGGAAUCUGCCCAAUGGUGGGGAAUAACCAGCCGAAAGGUUGGCUAAUACCGCAUGAGCCCUACGGGGGAAAGCGGGGGAUCGUAAGACCUCGCGCCGAUGGAUGAGCCGAAGCCGGAUUAGCUAGUUGGUAGGGUAACGGCCUACCAAGGCGACGAUCCGUAGCUGGUCUGAGAGGACGACCAGCCACACUGGGACUGAGACACGGCCCAGACUCCUACGGGAGGCAGCAGUGGGGAAUAUUGGACAAUGGGGGAAACCCUGAUCCAGCGACGCCGCGUGUGUGAAGAAGGCCUGCGGGUUGUAAAGCACUUUUAGUGGGGAUGAAAAGCUCANGGGCUAACACCUCUGGGUCUUGACCUAACCCACAGAAAAAGCACCGGCUAACUCUGUG
rnacentral:rRNA from 1 species